AAUGAAAGCAAAAAGGGGCGAGCCCUAGUCCUCCUUUGUCACAGAUCGCCGCCGCCGCUGAAGGGUCGGUGAGGCCGGUGCUCGUUUGUCGACGCCGGCGCCACUCCACCUCUGAUCUGUCGUCGUUUCUAGAAACAUCGCGCCGCUCUUCCUGAUCGAUUCCUCGCCGACUAGAAGAGGUGGCCGAGGAGGAGGAGAAGGAAUUGGAGGAGGAGCUUCCGUGGAUACAGGAGAAGGCUCUGGAUUUGGUUGAGUUUACGGGCUCUGUCACGCAGACGAUUCCGGCGCCGCGCGUCGGGCAGAUCUCGCUCCCAUGGAUUCAAAUUGUCGUCGUGAACACCAUCCGGAAGUUCAAUUCCCCUCGAGAGAAACGCCGCAAAUUGAUCUGCGUGAGGUAGAGAAUGUCAGGGAAAGGAGCAAAUGGGUUGUUGACGGGGAAAACUCCGGCUUCGAAAGACAAGGAUAAGGACAAGAAGAAACCCAUCACUCGCUCUUCCCGCGCCGGGCUUUAGAAAGACAAUAUAAGGAAUCAACGUGAGCAUGUUGUGCUUACUUUAGCCAACUCACAGUCGCGACUGGGCAUCCAAUAGAAACUGAUCUAGUUACUGCCUCAAUUAAGUUUGCUUGUAAGUUAUGUUUCAAUGUAAUAUAGGAUGAUGAGCAAUGUUUCAAUGUAAU